rnacentral:rRNA from 1 species
GUCUAGUAUAGCAUCUAUACGGUGAACUGCGAAUGGCUCAUUAAAUCAGUUAUCGUUUAUUUGAUAGUACCUUACUACUUGGAUAACCGUGGUAAUUCUAGAGCUAAUACAUGCUAAAAACCCCGACUUCGGAAGGGGUGUAUUUAUUAGAUAAAAAACCAAUGCCCUUCGGGGCUCCUUGGUGAUUCAUAAUAACUUAACGAAUCGCAUGGCCUUGUGCCGGCGAUGGUUCAUUCAAAUUUCUGCCCUAUCAACUUUCGAUGGUAGGAUAGUGGCCUACCAUGGUUUCAACGGGUAACGGGGAAUUAGGGUUCUAUUCCGGAGAGGGAGCCUGAGAAACGGCUACCACAUCCAAGGAAGGCAGCAGGCGCGCAAAUUACCCAAUCCCGACACGGGGAGGUAGUGACAAUAAAUACUGAUACAGGGCUCUUUUGGGUCUUGUAAUUGGAAUGAGUACAAUUUAAAUCCCUUAACGAGGAACAAUUGGAGGGCAAGUCUGGUGCCAGCAGCCGCGGUAAUUCCAGCUCCAAUAGCGUAUAUUAAAGUUGUUGCAGUUAAAAAGCUCGUAGUUGAACCUUGGGCCUGGCUGGCCGGUCCGCCUCACCGCGUGCACUGGUCCGGCCGGGUCUUUCCUUCUGGGGAGCCGCAUGCCCUUCACUGGGUGUGUCGGGGAACCGGACUUUUACUUUGAAAAAAUUAGAGUGUUCAAAGCAGGCCUAUGCUCGAAUACAUUAGCAUGGAAUAAUAGAAUAGGACGUGUGGUUCUAUUUUGUUGGUUUCUAGGACCGCCGUAAUGAUUAAUAGGGAUAGUCGGGGGCAUCAGUAUUCAAUUGUCAGAGGUGAAAUUCUUGGAUUUAUUGAAGACUAACUACUG